rnacentral:rRNA from 1 species
GACGAACGCUGGCGGCGUGCUUAACACAUGCAAGUCGAACGGUAAGGCCCUUCGGGGUACACGAGUGGCGAACGGGUGAGUAACACGUGGGUGAUCUGCCCUGCACUUCGGGAUAAGCCUGGGAAACUGGGUCUAAUACCGGAUAGGACCACUGCCUGCAUGGGUGGUGGUGGAAAGCUUUUGCGGUGUGGGAUGGGGCCGCGGCCUAUCAGCUUGUUGGUGGGGUGAUGGCCUACCAAGGCGACGACGGGUAGCCGGCCCGAGAGGGUGACCGGCCGCACUGGGACUGAGAUACGGCCCAGACUCCUACGGGAGGCAGCAGUGGGGAAUAUUGCACAAUGGGCGCAAGCCUGAUGCAGCGACGCCGCGUGAGGGAUGACGGCCUUCGGGUUGUAAACCUCUUUCAGCACCGACGAAGCGCAAGUGACGGUAGGUGCAGAAGAAGGACCGGCCAACUACGUGCCAGCCGCCGCGGUAA